AACGUAGGACACAAGCGUUAUCCGGAGUUACUGGGCGUAAAGGGCGUGUAGGCGGAUCGGUAAGUCUACUCUGAAAGCUCCUGGCUAAACUGGGAGAGGCGAGUGGAGACUGUCGGGUCUAGAGUGAGGAAGAGGAAAGUGGAAUUCCGCGUGUAGUGGUGAAAUGCGUAGAGAUGCGGAGGAACACCAGUGGCGAAAGCGCUUUCUGGUCCUUAACUGA
rnacentral:rRNA from 1 species